rnacentral:misc_RNA from 1 species
AGGGAAAAAUAAAGCGAUUCCCAUAGCAGCGAUGAGCGAAAUGGGAGCAGCCUCUUAACUUAUAUCUACUUUAUAAAGAAUUUACUCCUUCGAGAAUUUUUUUUCUCCGCUAAGCAACUCUUUUCAAGGACAAUAAUCAAACCAAAUACAUUUACAAGCUUGACUUUGUGCUUGUAAACCAAAUAUAAGUGUUCCUACACUUAAAAUUUUUCUUAAAGUUUCCCUAAGUUGCUUGAUGAUCUUUAUGAUCACAAUAUAUAGCUUUACUUUGCUUUUUUAUAUAUGUCACUCUCAACUUAUGAAUACAAAUUCAAGAACUAUUAACAGUGAGAGAGGUGAUUUUCCUAAAAUGGGACAUAUAUUCCUUGAAACAAUCCCUUGAAAGCCACAAAAAUCAGUAAUGAUUAUUCCAUAUGUUGGACAUACCCACUUCAGAUAAGUAGCUCUCUGAACUUCCUUCUCCUAUGCUAGGAGAUCCAUGAAUGUUAGGAUUGCUUUCCAUCUUGUUAAGUUGAUUCAAAACAGCUUUGAUUACUGUCUUGUCACAAGAGACACUGUCUAAAUUAGGACAAGUACUACUAAUAGGUAUUUGUCCAAAUGCAGUUGAGGUCUUUGUGGGUAUUAUGUUGGAGUCCAUUUGAGAGAUGUGUGGGAAAAUUAGGUUGGGUUGGCUUGGAGAGAAAAUGGAGAAGCAGGGCACUUGGUCAUACUCAUCUAGGUAGGGUUGAGUUUGGUCAAAAGUGAUGUAA